UUUAUGCCAAACUUUAAUUCACAUCAAGACCUAAAAUUUCAAUAUCUUAAACAAAUUAGAACAAGACCCAUUUCAUAAAAUUGAAUCAAUUUGCUAAAUAAUACAAACAAGAUGUGAAGAACCCAAUCUAAUAUUUUGUUUUAGAUUCUUACAUAAAAGGAAGAAAAAAUAAAUUAAGUUGUUGGGUUCUUUAAUUUGUACAGCGAAUCCAGAGGAGUAAGCGUUUUCAGUCAAAUUUUCCUUGAAAUUCUUAGCUAUGGCGGAAAAUCAAACCAGUCCGGUAAGAUUUGGGAUCGGAAUCCGCCAUAGCCGCCGAGCUCGGCGGCGGUGUAAGAGAAGAAAUGGGUGUUU